CAGUGGGGAAUUUUGCGCAAUGGGGGAAACCCUGACGCAGCAACGCCGCGUGGAGGAUGAAAUCCCUUGGGAUGUAAACUCCUUUCGAUAGGGAAGAUAAUGACGGUACCUAUAGAAGAAGCCCCGGCUAACUUCGUGCCAGCAGCCGCGGUAAUACGAGGGGGGCAAGCGUUGUUCGGAUUUAUUGGGCGUAAAGGGUGCGUAGGCGGUUUGGCAAGUCUUGUGUGAAAUCUUUGGGCUCAACCCAAAGUCUGCAUAAGAAACUGCCGGGCUUGAGUAUGGGAGAGGUGAGUGGAAUUUCCGGUGUAGCGGUGAAAUGCGUAGAUAUCGGAAGGAACACCUGUGGCGAAAGCGGCUCACUGGACCAUUACUGACGCUGAGGCACGAAAGCUAGGGGAGCAAACAGGAUUAGA
rnacentral:rRNA from 1 species